GCUCCUUCAAACUUCACUACACUUUUGUUUUUCAUCUAUUUUUUUUCCCCCGGCUUUAUUUCUGAAACAUGUGUUUGACAGAAAUACAGCCACUGGAAAAUGAAGACAGGGUUUUUGGAUUAAAGAGAGCAGUGGACCACAAUCCACCCGACCCCCAUCAACUGGACCAGGCACCACGACGAGUGAGCAUGAAGGGACUACAACCUCGCAGCUUGUACCUUGUAACGUUACAUUGUACUACCAACAGCAGAAAGAUUUCUGCCAUCAAAAGCUGUGAAUUCUGUACCAGUAAGUGUUCCUACCGAGACGGUGUCUCCAGGUCUGACUUUAGGGGGUUCAGGUUUUGGUUCCGGUGCUGCCAACGUGUCUCCAAGAGCACUGAGAGCAUCCAGAGACAGAGAGCCGCCCUGAGCAGAGAACAAGAGAUUGUGCUCUACUGAUCUGUCGUGCAUUUAUAGUUUAUAAACUGAAAUAAAAGGUCUCUCCCACAGAAAA